CGCGAUGGGCCAACAAAAAUCCCCAAAAACA
rnacentral:tRNA from 1 species